AGAGUUUGAUCCUGGCUCAGAUUGAACGCUGGCGGCAUGCCUUACACAUGCAAGUCGAACGGCAGCAUAGAAGAGCUUGCUCUUCUGAUGGCGAGUGGCGAACGGGUGACCAAAGCAUCGGAACGUACCGUGUAGUGGGGGAUAACGUAGCGAAAGUUACGCUAAUACCGCAUACGCACUGAGGUGGAAAGCAGGGGAUCGCAAGACCUUGCGCUAUACGAGCGGCCGAUGUCAGAUUAGCUAGUUGGUGGGGUAAAGGCCCACCAAGG
rnacentral:rRNA from 1 species